GCUAGGCAGAUGUUGGCAUAGCUGAAUGCAAAUCAGAAAUCGAAAUUCGAAAAGUUUGAAUUUCGCGCGCUCAGCUUCGCCACAUCGUGCCAUGCG
rfam:Caenorhabditis briggsae complete genome, chrII